UACGUAGGGGGCAAGCGUUGUCCGGAUUUAUUGGGCGUAAAGAGCGUGUAGGCGGUUCGGUAGGUCCGUUGUGAAAACUCGAGGCUCAACCUCGAGACGCCGAUGGAAACCCCCGAACUAGAGUCCGGAAGAGGAGAGUGGAAUUCCCGGUGUAGCGGUGAAAUGCGCAGAUAUCGGGAAGAACACCCGUGGCGAAGGCGGCUCUCUGGGACGGUACUGACGCUGAGACGCGAAAGCGUGGGGAGCGAACAGG
rnacentral:rRNA from 1 species